GAGGGAUGUGACUUGAACAGUGAACUAUUCUAUUACUAGUACCACUUGGAGGUAUGUGACUUGAACAGUGAACUAUUCUAUUACUAGUACCACUUGGAGGGAUGUGACUUGAACAGUGAACUAUUCUAUUACUAGUACCACUUGGAGGGAUGUGACUUGAACAGUGAACUAUUCUAUUACUAGUACCACUUGGAGGUGUGACUUGAACAGUGAACUAUUCUAUUACUAGUACCACUUGGAGGUGUGACUUGAACAGUGAACUAUUCUAUUACUAGUACCACUUGGAGGUGUGACUUGAACAGUGAACUAUUCUAUUACUAGUACCUCUUGGAGGGAUGUGACUUGAACAGUGAACUAUUCUAUUACUAGUACCACUUGGAGAUGUGACUUGAACAGUGAACUAUUCUAUUACUAGUACCUCUUGGAGGGAUGUGACUUGAACAGUGAACUAUUCUAUU